rnacentral:tRNA from 1 species
GGCGAGGUAGCUCAGUCGGUUAGAGCACAGGCUUCAUAAGCCUGGGGUCGCGGGUUCGAGUCCCGCCCUCGCUA